rnacentral:rRNA from 1 species
UACGUAGGGGGCGAGCGUUGUCCGGAUUUAUUGGGCGUAAAGCGAGCGCAGGUGGUUUAUUAAGUCUGGUGUAAAAGGCAGUGGCUCAACCAUUGUAUGCAUUGGAAACUGGUAGACUUGAGUGCAGGAGAGGAGAGUGGAAUUCCAUGUGUAGCGGUGAAAUGCGUAGAUAUAUGGAGGAACACCGGUGGCGAAAGCGGCUCUCUGGCCUGUAACUGACACUGAGGCUCGAAAGCGUGGGGAGCAAACAGG